rnacentral:lncRNA from 1 species
UCGCGCAUCUCCUCCCCCGCGUCGUCUCGUUCGUUGCCGCGAGUUCCGUGAACCUUCCUGGCGUUCGAACUCGAGACCAGAUCAACCUCGCCGCCGAGGCCACGAAGCAGGCCGACCUCCUCGCCGGCCAGAUCAAGCACCUCGCCCAACCUCCCCGUGGCCUCGAUCCCGCCCAUCCCCACGAUCCCGGCGCGGGCCAACUCGGAGCAGAAGCCACGACUCGGAGGUAAUUUCGAUCUCUGGUAGAAGUCUAGGGUAUCCUUGGCCGCGACUCCAAGUUCUCUGCUGGAAGCCUAGGUCGUAGAGAUUGUAGGCGGGCUUCUUCCUUGAUCGCUAUUGCCAUGGAGAGAUCAGUCGUGAGUAGGGGCGGAUCUGCACACCCGGGGCGAGCUCAUCCAAUCGAUGAAGGCGGAUGACCGAUGCACCGAAUACUAGUAUAGUAUUUUGCACUUUUGUAUUGUUUUAGUAUGACACUAGUAUAGUAUUUUGAACAAUUUCGAGAUCCGCUACUGUUCGAGAGCAGAUCAGUUCCUGAGCAGAACAGUCCCAUUGCGAUCGUCGGUAGUUGGGUUUAGGUACAAGUGGGCCCUAGAUUUUGUAAUUUGGCAACUCAAAAUAGCAAACUAUUGGAGAUGACAUAAAAUUUCAUUUGCCAUCUAUUUUAGCAACUUGCCAAAACUCAAGAUUUGGCAAGCCAAAUUUUGCCAAUUGUUGGAGAUGCUCUUA